rnacentral:tRNA from 1 species
GCGGCUAUAGCUUAACGGAUAGAGUAGCGGUUUCCGGAACCGCUGGUCCCAGUUCGAUUCUGGGUAGCCGCGCUA